rnacentral:rRNA from 1 species
GGCAGCUGCCCUUCGGGGUGAUGGCGAGCGGCGGACGGCUGAUUAACGCGUAGGAAUCUACCCCAAAGUGAGGAAUAACCUCGAGAAAUCGAGGCUAAUGCCGCAUAUGGUCUUCGGAUUAAAGGAUUUAUCCGCUUUGGGAAGAGCCUGCGUAAGAUUAGCUAGUUGGUGAGGUAAUGGCUCACCAAGGCUUCGAUCUUUAGCUGGUCUGAGAGGAUGACCAGCCAGACUGGAACUGAGACACGGUCCAGACUCCUACGGGAGGCAGCAGUAAGGAAUCUUCCACAAUGGGCGAAAGCCUGAUGGAGCAACGCCGCGUGCAGGAUGAAGGCCCUCGGGUCGUAAACUGCUUUUAUAAGUGAGGAAUAUGACGGUAACUUAUGAAUAAGGAUCGGCUAACUCCGUGCCAGCAGCCGCGGUCAUACGGAGGAUCCAAGCGUUAUUCGGAGUGACUGGGCGUAAAGAGUUGCGUAGGGGGUUUGUUAAGCGAAUAGUGAAAUCUUGUGGCUCAACCAUAAGGCUAUUAUUCGAACUGGCAGACUUGAGAAUAUG